rnacentral:rRNA from 1 species
GAUGAACGCUGGCGGCGUGCCUAAUACAUGCAAGUCGAGCGAACAGACGAGGAGCUUGCUCCUCUGACGUUAGCGGCGGACGGGUGAGUAACACGUGGAUAACCUACCUAUAAGACUGGGAUAACUUCGGGAAACCGUAGCUAAUACCGGAUAAUAUAUUGAACCGCAUGGUUCAAUAGUUAAAGACGGUUUUGCUGUCACUUAUAGAUGGAUCCGCGCCGCAUUAGCUAGUUGGUAAGGUAACGGCUUACCAAGGCAACGAUGCGUAGCCGACCUGAGAGGGUGAUCGGCCACACUGGAACUGAGACACGGUCCAGACUCCUACGGGAGGCAGCAGUAGGGAAUCUUCCGCAAAGGGCGAAAGCCUGACGGAGCAACGCCGCGUGAGUGAUGAAGGUCUUCGGAUCGUAAAACUCUGUUAUUAGGGAAGAACAAAUGUGUAAGUAACUAUGCACGUCUUGACGGUACCUAAUCAGAAAGCCACGGCUAACUACGUG